rnacentral:pre_miRNA from 1 species
AGACACCCUCAUGGGGCAAGACUUGCCUCAGUGGGGCUUUGGUGCUCACAGAGUCUGCCCCCUGAGUGUGUCCCU